UGGGGAAUAUUGCACAAUGGGCGCAAGCCUGAUGCAGCCAUGCCGCGUGUGUGAAGAAGGCCUUCGGGUUGUAAAGCACUUUCAGCGGGGAGGAAGGCGUUAAGGUUAAUAACCUUGGCGAUUGACGUUACCCGCAGAAGAAGCACCGGCUAACUCCGUGCCAGCAGCCGCGGUAAUACGGAGGGUGCAAGCGUUAAUCGGAAUUACUGGGCGUAAAGCGCACGCAGGCGGUCUGUCAAGUCGGAUGUGAAAUCCCCGGGCUCAACCUGGGAACUGCAUUAGAAACUGGCAGGCUAGAGUCUUGUAGAGGGGGGUAGAAUUCCAGGUGUAGCGAUGAAAUGCGUAGAGAUCUGGAGGAAUACCGGUGGCGAAGGCGGCCCCCUGGACAAAGACUGACGCUCAGGUGCGAAAGCGUGGGGAGCAAACAGG
rnacentral:rRNA from 1 species